rnacentral:rRNA from 1 species
UACGUAGGGGGCAAGCGUUAUCCGGAUUUACUGGGUGUAAAGGGAGCGUAGACGGCGAUGCAGGCCAGAUGUGAAAGCCCGGGGCUCAACCCCGGGACUGCAUUUGGAACUGUGUGGCUGGAGUGUCGGAGAGGCAGGCGGAAUUCCUAGGGUGGCGGUGAAAUGCGUAGAUAUUAGGAGGAACACCAGUGGCGAAGGCGGCCUGCUGGACGAUGACUGACGUUGAGGCUCGAAAGCGUGGGGAGCAAACAGG